AUUUAUCAAGUAAAUAGUCUAAGUAAUAACGCGUGACAAAGUUCGCCACAGUCGAAGAUUGUUGGAUUGACACACGGCAGACGACCCUUCUCAACCACCUCGCGGUUUCCUCUUGAAAGGAUGAAGGAGAUCUCUACCAGCUCUUGUGGGACGUGCCCACACACAAUUCCCCGCACAGCUGCUGAGGAGGACUGAAGGUUCAGCGGGCGUCCUCCGAUCCCACGACCGAUCCAGCUUCCUCUUCCACACCCAGGAACUCCAGAGCAGAUGUGAGCGAGCUACCACCCCCUGGAGGACAAGCCCUGCAGGUGUCUGCUCUGAGCUCACUGGGAGCCUGGCCGGUAGGGCGAUGAGGAGGAACAGUCCCUGCCGAUUUUGCCUCCCUGACCCACGGGAGCACCAGAGCCAAUGCGACUCUCCCUUCAGAGUCCCCAGCGAAGACCAGCGACUCCGCACAGCCAGGAGGUGAACCUGCGCUCUCCUGACUGUAUGACUCACCCUGCGCACCACGCGGCCGUGCCUUUACCAGUUUCCUGGCACUGCAGUUGAGUGGAGAAGGAGGGAGCGAGAGAGAGGGAGCGAGAGACCACGGAGUGCUGACUCCAGUGUAUUGACUGUCUAAUCCCCACAGAGACGCAGAGGAGCAAGCUGCAGCACUGCAGAUAAGGAAACAGAGGGCAACACAAACGUCCAGGAAUCUGCACUGAAUACCAAACUGCUGCCUGCCUGCCUGCGUAGGCCUUUCUGAGUGAAAUCAACACACAGCAUUCCCUUCCCACUGCUGCAGAGCCAAACAGCUACCACACUGUCUCUGAAAGUGCAGACCCCUUAUCAGAGGUAACCACAAUCAAUCAAAGCCUAGCAAAGGGUAAUAAUAAAGCAUGGAAAAGCCAAGAGAGGAGGUAAUUGCAUCGUGUAGCCAUGAGGAAAGUAUACUGUAAACAUGUUUACAUAUAUAAGAGAUAGGAGCCAGCUUGCACUGUUUUGAAGUCCUGCAACAAUACAAUAAAGACUUCUUUUGAUAGGUAUAUUCCUAGAAUGCAAGGUUACGGGUUGGGAAAAGAAAAUGUGGCUCUGUGUUCCAGGUGCUUUGACAUGGAGUUCUGGAGAUGCUCAUCAGUUCUAAUGGCCUGCCACAGACAUGUGCAAUGCAGGCUGGACCAGUCCAGGUGUCUCUGCACUAGUAAGUGCAAACACUGUCUCGUUCACAGCACUGCGUUGCCAGCAAAAUUAGAGGAGCACUCUUGGUAAAGCCCAGACUACACACGUCUAGGGCAGGCAGCUAGAACGAAAGAACAGCUCCUGAACUGAGGUGGAAGUAACUUAACACAGACCUUUUAAUAAAUAAAACUAGAGGGAUUGCACUUGUCAUAAAAAGGUUGUGUGUCUCUGUAGCUCUGUAUGUAAUUGCAUGCCUAGCUGUGGUCUCUUUGUUUCUGUAUGUUUCUGUAUGUAGAGUGGAGUAGUGGUUAGGGCUCUGGACUCUUGACCGGAGGGUCGUGGGUUCAAUCCCAGGUGGGGGACACUGCUGCUGUACCCUUGAGCGAGGUACUUUACCUAGAUUGCUCUAGUAAAAAUCCAACUACAUAACUGGGUAAUUGUAUGUAAAAAAUAAUGUAUUAAAAAAUAAUGUAAUUGUAUGUAAAAAUAAUGUGAUAUCUUGUAACAAUUGUAAGUUGCUCUGGAUAAGGGCG